UAUGGCCACAUCACAUUGAAACACCAGUUCCUGUAUGAUCACUGAAGUUAAGCAACGUUAAGCCUGGCCAGUACUUAGAUUGGUGACCACUUGGGGAUACAAGG